GGGGAUGCAAGGCAUAGACAGUUGACUUGUUUAUCUAAAUGCAUAUCGAGCAUAAACAUAAUCUCGUAAAAAUUUGUUUAAAUGUUAAUUGCAAAAUUGACUUCUAAAACAGUUGCAAAGAUUUCUCCAUACUUCAGUAUGCAGAAUCUAGCUCUUGUUCCAGCUCUCGCGUAAGCCAGGCUGGUGUCCUAUCUAUAGACUUCCGAUAUAUAGAUUAGGGCAUAAUAUUAUCGGGAUAGGGGAAAAACUGUUCUGACUUUCUUCCAAAACAAAGGAACUCGAUUAUAGGAUAUUUGGCUCGCUUAAGAAUUCUAUAAUCUAAACAAAAAAGCGUGCUAUGUAUGUAGACUUUUAGGUAACAACCUUCUGCACACGAGUUCAAUUCUCGUCAUCUCCACAU
rnacentral:tmRNA from 1 species